rnacentral:rRNA from 1 species
UACGGGGGGGGCAAGCGUUGUUCGGAAUUACUGGGCGUAAAGGGCUCGUAGGCGGCCAACUAAGUCAGACGUGAAAUCCCUCGGCUUAACCGGGGAACUGCGUCUGAUACUGGAUGGCUUGAGUUUGGGAGAGGGAUGCGGAAUUCCAGGUGUAGCGGUGAAAUGUGUAGAUAUCUGGAGGAACACCGGUGGCGAAGGCGGGUCUCUGGGCCGAUACUGACGCUGAGGAGCGAAAGCGUGGGGAGCGAACAGG